UGGGGAAUAUUGGACAAUGGGCGAAAGCCUGAUCCAGCCAUGCCGCGUGUGUGAAGAAGGUCUUCGGAUUGUAAAGCACUUUAAGUUGGGAGGAAGGGCAGUUACCUAAUACGUGAUUGUUUUGACGUUACCGACAGAAUAAGCACCGGCUAACUCUGUGCCAGCAGCCGCGGUAAUACAGAGGGUGCAAGCGUUAAUCGGAAUUACUGGGCGUAAAGCGCGCGUAGGUGGUUAGUUAAGUUGGAUGUGAAAUCCCCGGGCUCAACCUGGGAACUGCAUUCAAAACUGACAAGCUAGAGUACGGUAGAGGGUGGUGGAAUUUCCUGUGUAGCGGUGAAAUGCGUAGAUAUAGGAAGGAACACCAGUGGCGAAGGCGACCACCUGGACUGAUACUGACACUGAGGUGCGAAAGCGUGGGGAGCAAACAGGAUUAGAUACCCCAGUAGUCCCUGAGCGGGCUGGCAAGGCGCAU
rnacentral:rRNA from 1 species